UGAUUUGCCUAAUACAUGCAAGUCGAGCGAGCUUGCCUAUUGAAAUUCUUCGGAAUGGACAUAGAUACAAGCUAGCGGCGGAUGGGUGAGUAACGCGUGGGUAACCUGCCCUUAAGUCUGGGAUACCAUUUGGAAACAGAUGCUAAUACCGGAUAAAAGCUACUUUCGCAUGAAAGAAGUUUAAAAGGCGGCGUAAGCUGUCGCUAAAGGAUGGACCUGCGAUGCAUUAGCUAGUUGGUAAGGUAACGGCUUACCAAGGCGAUGAUGCAUAGCCGAGUUGAGAGACUGAUCGGCCCACAUUGGGACUGAGACACGGCCCAAACUCUUACGGGAGGCAGCAGUAGGGAAUCUUCCCCCAAUGGACGCAAGUCUGAUGGAGCAACGCCGCGUGAGUGAAGAAGGUUUUCGGAUCGUAAAGCUCUGUUGUUGGUGAAGAAGGAUAGAGGUAGUAACUGGCCUUUAUUUGACGGUAAUCAACCAGAAAGUCACGGCUAACUACGUGCCAGCAGCCGCGGUAAUACGUAGGUGGCAAGCGUUGCCCGGAUUUAUUGGGCGUAAAGCGAGCGCAGGCGGAAGAAUAAGUCUGAUGUGAAAGCCCUCGGCUUAACCGAGGAACUGCAUCGGAAACUGUUUUUCUUGAGUGCAGAAGAGGAGAGUGGAACUCCAUGUGUAGCGGUGGAAUGCGUAGAUAUAUGGAAGAACACCAGUGGCGAAGGCGGCUCUCUGGUCUGCAACUGACGCUGAGGCUCGAAAGCAUGGGUAGCGAACAGGAUUAGAUACCCUGGUAGUCCAUGCCGUAAACGAUGAGUGCUAAGUGUUGGGAGGUUUCCGCCUCUCAGUGCUGCAGCUAACGCAUUAAGCACUCCGCCUGGGGAGUACGACCGCAAGGUUGAAACUCAAAGGAAUUGACGGGGGCCCGCACAAGCGGUGGAGCAUGUGGUUUAAUUCGAAGCAACGCGAAGAACCUUACCAGGUCUUGA
rnacentral:rRNA from 1 species